rnacentral:misc_RNA from 1 species
CUGGAGACAAGCAAUUUAAUUUAAACGCCCACACUUAUCGGUUGUUGGAAGAAGUCGGUUGUCUUCGGUUUUGAAGGCAAUUGGCGAAUGGGUCUGUAGCUCAGCUGGUUAGAGCACCGUCUUGAUAAGGCGGGGGUCGUUGGUUCGAGCCCAACUAGACCCACCAAAUCUUCUGAUACCUCGUGUGAGAGAAAACUGAGGGAUUUGGGGGAUUAGCUCAGCUGGGAGAGCACCUGCUUUGCAAGCAGGGGGUCGUCGGUUCGAUCCCGUCAUCCUCCACCACAACCAAUCAUCGGUUCCCCUCGGAACGUUUCAACACCAAAGCGGCUUCCUGCGAAAGCAUGAGGCUUCUUUGUUGUUGAUCGGGAUCUCCUGAUCAAUCGGCUGUUCUUUAAAAAUUCAUAGAGUUGAAUCAGCGCUGCUGACGGAAAGAGCUUCAUGGCUCACCGUGCCGUCAGCAACUUGAAUUUUUGAUUGCGUCAAUAUGAACUUCAAUUUCGAGAAAUCGAUUUAUGAAGACGGCAUAACGCGCCAGGUGAAAGACUUGGCAAUUCCUUGAUUGACUUUGGUUUCUGUGAAGAAACGUCAAAGUUAUAGGGUCAAGUGAAUAAGAGCACGUG